rnacentral:rRNA from 1 species
ACUCCUACGGGAGGCAGCAGUAGGGAAUAUUGGUCAAUGGGCGAAAGCCUGAACCAGCCAUGCCGCGUGUCAGAUGAAGGUCCUCUGGAUUGUAAAUGACUUUUCUACGGGAAGAAUGAGCCGUCUGCGGACGGAAGUUGACGGUACCGUAGGAAUAAGCACCGGCUAACUACGUGCCAGCAGCCGCGGUAAUACGUAGGGGUGCAAGCGUUGUCCGGAUUUACUGGGGUUUAAAGGGUACGUAGGCGGUUGUGCCAAGUCUGGGGUGAAAGUUUGCAGCUCAACUGUAAAAUUGCCUUGGAUACUGGUCGGCUAGAGUAGUGGAGCGGUGGCUGGAAUUUAUAGUGUAGCGGUGAAAUGCUUAGAU